ensembl:lincRNA Gm12756 predicted gene 12756
UGAAACCUCUCCUUAGGUUGGGUGCCAGAACUGAUUCUGAAAUUGGCACAAGUCAGAGUGACAACGGAAAGGUCCCAGUGGGAGCUCUGUUGGUGCUUACAGUAUGAGUGUGACUGAGGCUGUGUCUACAAGGAGAGGGAAGCACUUUGUAUUAGGAGCAGAUGUCCGUUUGCCUGUCUCUCCAGGAUUGCUGAGAACCUCUGCCUGCCUUCUGGAUCCGUCUGUGGGGCAGAUAUAUCCAGGUCUUCCUGGGAGACCACUCCCAAAGCUGAUGUUGGGUCCGUAAGGAGAGACAGCACCAGGUCCCCCAGGCAGUAGAUGCUACUGGAAUCCAGCUGGCCUCAUACUGGCUACAGCUAAUUCACCUCCAUUUUGCCUCUACUGUAGUGGUCUCUGGAAUCUUCCAGGAUUGGAACAAGUGACUGAACUGCCUUCUGUCUUGGAGCCACAUUCAUCCAGGAGCCCUGAGCAAGGAGUAGCAACCUGGGCAGGGUUCUAGGCCUGCUGCUCCGGGAAGACGUGGCCUUAUCUUCAUUUUUUUGUCCCAGCCUUGGAGAGACAGACUCAUGAGCCCACGUUGCUCCCAAUCUGGAAAUCC